GACGAACGCUGGCGGCGUGCUUAACACAUGCAAGUCGAACGGAAAGGCCCUGCUUUUGUGGGGUGCUCGAGUGGCGAACGGGUGAGUAACACGUGAGUAACCUGCCCUUGACUUUGGGAUAACUUCAGGAAACUGGGGCUAAUACCGGAUAGGAGCUCCUGCUGCAUGGUGGGGGUUGGAAAGUUUCGGCGGUUGGGGAUGGACUCGCGGCUUAUCAGCUUGUUGGUGGGGUAGUGGAUUACCAAGGCUUUGACGGGUAGCCGGCCUGAGAGGGUGACCGGCAACAUGGGGACUGAGAUACGGCCCAGACUCCUACGGGAGGAAGAAGUGGGGAAUAUGGCACAAUGGGCGGAAGCCUGAGGCAGCAACGCCGCGUGCGGGAUGACGGCCUUCGGGUUGUAAACCGCUUUCGCCUGUGACGAAGCGUGAGUGACGGUAAUGGGUAAAGAAGCACCGGCUAACUACGU
rnacentral:rRNA from 1 species